rnacentral:rRNA from 1 species
GACGAACGCUGGCGGCAUGCUUAACACAUGCCAGUCGAACGCUGAACCCGCUUCGGUGGGGGAUGAGUGGCGAACGGGUGAGUAACACGUGGGCAACCUGCCCCCGGCUCUGGGAUAACUCCAAGAAAUUGGGGCUAAUACCGGAUGUGACCGCUGGCCGCAUGGUCUGGUGGUGGAAAGGGUUUCCGGCUGGGGAUGGGCCCGCGGCCUAUCAGCUUGUUGGUGGGGUAGUGGCCUACCAAGGCGACGACGGGUAGCCGGCCUGAGAGGGUGACCGGCCACACUGGGACUGAGACACGGCCCAGACUGCUACGGGAGGCAGCAGGGGGGAAUAUUGCGCAAUGGGCGGAAGCCUGACGCAGCGACGCCGCGUGGGGGAUGACGGCCUUCGGGUUGUAAACCUCUUUCAGCAGGGACGAAGCGCAAGUGACGGUACCUGCAGAAGAAGCACCGGCCAACUACGUG